rnacentral:rRNA from 1 species
GUGGGGAAUCUUCCACAAUGGACGAAAGUCUGAUGGAGCAACGCCGCGUGAGUGAAGAAGGGUUUCGGCUCGUAAAGCUCUGUUGUCGGGGACGAAUGUGCAGUAUUUGAAUAAAGUACUGCAAUGACGGUACCUGACGAGGAAGCCACGGCUAACUACGUGCCAGCAGCCGCGGUAAUACGUAGGUGGCAAGCGUUGUCCGGAAUUAUUGGGCGUAAAGGGAGCGCAGGCGGGAAGGUAAGUCGGUCUUAAAAGUGCGGGGCUCAACCCCGUGAUGGGAUCGAAACUAUCUUUCUUGAGUGCAGGAGAGGAAAGUGGAAUUCCUAGUGUAGCGGUGAAAUGCGUAGAUAUUAGGAGGAACACCAGUGGCGAAGGCGACUUUCUGGACUGUAACUGACGCUGAGGCUCGAAAGCCAGGGGAGCGAACGGGAUUAGAAACCCCGGUAGUCC